rnacentral:rRNA from 1 species
AGCCCCCUGAGUGGUAAGGACGAUUAUUUGGCCUAAAGCGUUCGUAGCCGGCUUAUCAAGUCUUUUGUUAAAUCCAACGAUUCAAUCGUUGGGCCGCAAAAGAUACUGUUAUGCUAGAGGACGGGAGAGGUCGACGGUAGUCCAGGGGUAGGGGUGAAAUCCUAUAAUCCUUGGAGGACCACCAGUGGCGAAGGCGGUCGACUAGAACGUGCCUGACGGUGAGGGACGAAAGCUGGGGGAGCGAACCGGAUUAGAUACCCGAGUAGUCC